CGAGCCUGGAGUUCAGAGGAGUAGGGAAUAAACACAGCUGCUUCUUCUUUGAUAUUGCAUCGUUCUCUCAGGUGACUCCAGACCCACAACAAUGCCAUUGACUCUUAACGGCCCGCUGGACAAUUAGGAAUGGACAAUAUGUGUUGAUCUAACCAGCAACACUCAUCCCAUGAAUUGUUUAAAACAGCAUUCCUAUUUGUGUGUUGUGGACUGUGGACAGGCUUUGCAGAGUCAGGAGUCUGCUGAUUAAAGUUUCCGAGUGAUAUAUUCCUCAUCAUAAAGGAUAAAAGGGAAAAAGUACAAUAUCUGUGCUUUGUCAGCUGACCUAGUAUGAGCCUUGCCUCGAUUGCUGGAGUUGGGGAUCAUUAAGAAUGCAGGGUAUACUCCUGCAGGAUUCUGAACAUCAAGAUGGAAGUAACCCAGAUAUGGUGUUCAUUCCUCAACUGGAAGCAGCAGUGGAGUGAAUCAACAGCUGCAUGAGAUCUAUGUGGAUAAUCUGGCAAAGAUCCAGAAUCUGACAGGAUAAAAGAAGAGAAAGAUCCUUUUUGUGUCUUGGAAGAAACAUAAUUGGUGUUACAUGGUCACAGAAAGUUAACAGGAGCUCAUCCAACUAAAUUGUUAUCCACCUGAUUAGAGAUCAGAGUCAAGCCCUACAACUGUAUCCUCAUAGUAUCUUUACAAUUGGUAAAGAAAAAGCAAAGACAAAGGAGAAUUGAUGACUGCAAUCUAUCAAGUGCCACACGUUGGUGGAAAUGGCAAAUACUGCAAGAUACCAGAAGAAAUGAUCAUUUGGGAAAAUGUCACAUAAGUCUCUUGUUUUUUUAAAAGCUUCUUCAAAACAAUUAUUCAGCUUGAUGUACUUUGUUAAUAUGGAUUACUAAGAAAUGUUUCCUUGACAAGGAAUCACUAGCCGAUCCCCACCACUCCUCUUAACUCAGCCACCCUAUCGAUAACAGGUAGCUGUCAUCUCAUUCUGAACAUCUGCUGACAGGUGGCUUCCUUAUUAUGAAGCUCCAGUAACUCAGAUGAAAUUAGAGAUAACCUAACAAUGUAAAAUUUCCCCUUGCCCUGUAUACUCUGGGAUCAGUUCCGAGCAUUCCUGAGGUCACAUCCUGCCACUUUGAGAAUCAUCCUUAGAGUGAAACUUUCAAUUAGUUUUCAUAAACAUGAUUAUUGAUAGUAAUGAUUUGAUCUCUGUGGAAACCUUUCGGUCGUUGGAAGUUGCAAUAGACUAAAUUUGUUGAGUGUCUGAAGGUAUGGCCUGGUGUACAGUCUAUAGACAAAUGUCACAAUACAUGCAUUGGGUUUCAGUAGCAACUACACAGGAAAACCUACCUGCUUCUUGGGCUGCUCAUGAAACUCAUAUUUGUUAAGUGAUUGUGAACUAUAUCUUCAAGAAUAUCUGUGUGCCCAAGGAUAAUACUGGGGAUUGCUGAUGACCAAUAUGCAUAGUAACCUGUGUACAAAUAAAAAUGUGGAGAGCUCAAAACAUCAUCAGUGUAGUACACAAUAGAAUAAAAGCAUGAUACUUCCACAUUUGAUGCCACAUGCAAGUCAGCAUGAUUCAAUAACUUGUGAUGAAAUAAUGCAUAUUGUUAGAACACGAUUUUCUAUUUACCACACAUUUAUCGACAGCAGAGUACCAAGUUAUUUUAAAUCACUAUUCAGGCUGAAAUAAUUUAAUCAUGUUUAUUAUGGGAAAGCUCUACUACUGUAUUUUCAAAACAAAAAUAAAUCUACCAUCAGUACUUCUAUUAAUAACUAAAGAAUUAAAAACAGUGACCUACUUUUGAUAUGAAUGUGGUUUCUUCCUUCAAGCAAUGUAGCUAGCAGUCAAUGGCUAUUAAUCACACAGAC